UGGGCGGUAUCGGAAGAACUGCACCUAUGGCUUUUCGGGUUUCAAUGAAAAAUAGUUCUGCCUAGAUCCGUAACUGGACCGGGACAGAGGG
rfam:Bacillus sp. SA2-6 scf7180000001091, whole genome shotgun sequence.